ACGAACGCUGGCGGCGUGCCUAAUACAUGCAAGUCGAGCGGACGGAUGGGAGCUUGCUCCCAGACCGUCAGCGGCGGACGGGUGAGUAACACGUGGGCAACCUGCCUGUAAGACUGGGAUAACUCCGGGAAACCGGGGCUAAUACCGGAUAACUCUUUCCCUCACAUGAGGGAAAGCUGAAAGAUGGCAUCUCGCUAUCACUUACAGAUGGGCCCGCGGCGCAUUAGCUAGUUGGUGAGGUAACGGCUCACCAAGGCGACGAUGCGUAGCCGACCUGAGAGGGUGAUCGGCCACACUGGGACUGAGACACGGCCCAGACUCCUACGGGAGGCAGCAGUAGGGAAUCUUCCGCAAUGGACGAAAGUCUGACGGAGCAACGCCGCGUGAGUGAUGAAGGUGUUCGGAUCGUAAAACUCUGUUGUCAGGGAAGAACAAGUACCGGAGUAACUGCCGGUACCUUGACGGUACCUGACCAGAAAGCCACGGCUAACUACGUG
rnacentral:rRNA from 1 species